rnacentral:ncRNA from 1 species
CUUCAGGGUUGAGUGAAAUUCUCUACCGGUGGUAAAGCCCACGAGCUUGUGAUAAGCAUGAUUCGGUGUAAUUCCGAAGCCGACAGUAAAGUCUGGAUGGAAGAAG